rnacentral:rRNA from 1 species
UACGUAGGGUGCAAGCGUUGUCCGGAAUUAUUGGGCGUAAAGAGCUCGUAGGCGGUUUGUCGCGUCUGCUGUGAAAACUCAGGGCUUAACCCUGAGCCUGCAGUGGGUACGGGCAGACUAGAGUGUGGUAGGGGAGAUCGGAAUUCCUGGUGUAGCGGUGGAAUGCGCAGAUAUCGAGAGGAACACCAGUGGCGAAGGCGAGUCCCUGGACAACUCCUGACGCUGAGGCACGAAAGCUAGGGGAGCAAACAGG